rnacentral:rRNA from 1 species
UACGUAGGGUGCAAGCGUUGUCCGGAAUUAUUGGGCGUAAAGAGCUCGUAGGCGGUUUGUCGCGUCUGCUGUGAAAACUUGGGGCUUAACCCCAAGCCUGCUUCCGAUACGGGCGGACUAGAGGUAGGCAGGGGGAGAACGGAAUUCCUGGUGUAGCGGUGAAAUGCGCAGAUAUCAGGAGGAACACCGGUGGCGAAGGCGGUUCUCUGGGCCUUACCUGACGCUGAGGAGCGAAAGCGUGGGGAGCAAACAGG